rnacentral:rRNA from 1 species
UACGUAGGGUCCGAGCGUUGUCCGGAAUUACUGGGCGUAAAGAGCUCGUAGGUGGUUUGUCGCGUUGUUCGUGAAACUCACAACUCAAUUGUGGGCGUGCGGGCGAUACGGGCAGACUAGAGUACUGCAGGGAGACUGGAAUUCCUGGUGUAGCGGUGGAAUGCGCAGAUAUCAGGAGGAACACCGGUGGCGAAGGCGGGUCUCUGGGCAG